rnacentral:tRNA from 1 species
GCAUCUGUAGCUCAGUUGGUUAGAGCGCUGCACCGGAAUCGCAGGGCCGUAGGUUCAAUUCCUACCAGUGAG